GGCCAGACAGUCGCGUCACUCGCAAGAGUGCCGAGGAAAGUCCGGGCUCCAUAGGGCAAGGUGCCAGGUAACGCCUGGGCGGCGCAAGCCGACGGACAGUGCAACAGAAAGAUACCGCCUACGUUCCUUUCGGGGAGCCGGUAAGGGUGAAAUGGUGCGGUAAGAGCGCACCGCGAGUCCGGUAACGGACCGGCACGGCAAACCCCACCUGGAGCAAGACCAAAUAGGGAUCCAUUGGCGUGGCCCGCGCUGGAUCCGGGUAGGUUGCUUGAGCGCUGCG
rnacentral:RNase_P_RNA from 1 species